GAUGAACGCCGGCGGCGUGCCUAAUACAUGCAAGUCGAACGCAUAGCGAAAGGUGCUUGCACCUUUCAAGUGAGUGGCGAACGGGUGAGUAACACGUGGACAACCUGCCUCAAGGCUGGGGAUAACAUUUGGAAACAGAUGCUAAUACCGAAUAAAACUUAGUGUCGCAUGACACAAAGUUAAAAGGCGCUUCGGCGUCACCUAGAGAUGGAUCCGCGGUGCAUUAGUUAGUUGGUGGGGUAAAGGCCUACCAAGACAAUGAUGCAUAGCCGAGUUGAGAGACUGAUCGGCCACAUUGGGACUGAGACACGGCCCAAACUCCUACGGGAGGCUGCAGUAGGGAAUCUUCCACAAUGGGCGAAAGCCUGAUGGAGCAACGCCGCGUGUGUGAUGAAGGCUUUCGGGUCGUAAAGCACUGUUGUAUGGGAAGAACAGCUAGAAUAGGAAAUGAUUUUAGUUUGACGGUACCAGACCAGAAAGGGACGGCUAAAUACGUG
rnacentral:rRNA from 1 species